UUAAAGUUUGAUUUUGGCUAUAAAUUUAUUUAAUUUUAAUUUUACAUGAAUAUUUUUGUGGGAAUUAAUUUAGUUUUUAAAAAAUUAAUUUAUUUUAUUCUCAGUAUUUAAUUUUAAUAAUAAAAGAAAUUUUGAAUUGGUUAAAAAUUUUAGUAUAGGAUAAAUUUGUGCCAGCAUCUGCGGUUAUACAAAUUAUAUAAAUAAAUUAUAUUAGUAAAUAAUUAAAUUAUCUAUUUUAUUUAUUAAAUAAGAUUUUAAAUUUAAAGGUAAAAUUUUUAAAUUUUUACAUUAUUUAUAAAAAGUAAAUUGAAGUUAUUAAAUUUUUAAUUAAACUAGGAUUAGAUACCCUAUUAUUUAAAAUGUAAAUUGAUAUACUGAGGUAUUAGUAGUUAAAUUCUUUAAACUUAAAAAAUUUGGCGGUGUUUUAGUCUAUUUAGAGGAACCUGUUUCUUAAUUGAUAAUCCACGAUUAAUUUUACUAAAUUUUGUAUAGUUUGUAUAUCGUCGUUAUCAGAAUAUUUUAUAAGAAUAAUAAUAUUCUAAUUUUUAGAAAAAAAAAUUAUUUCAGAUCAAGGUGCAGCUUAUAAUUUAGAGUAAAUGGGUUACAAUAAAUUUAUUUAAAUGGAUUAAUUUUUGUAAAUAAAUUAUAAAGGUGGAUUUAAUAGUAAAUUUAAUUAUUUAAUUAUUUUGAUUAUAGCUCUAAAACAUGUACAUAUCGCCCGUCGCUCUUUUUAUUUAAAAAAAGAUAAGUCGUAACAUAGUAGAUGUACUGGAAAGUGUAUCUAGAAUGAU
rnacentral:ncRNA from 1 species